CUGAAUGCAAUAUAAAAAGCCUGCCUUUUCAUUUAUGUAUUUAUGCUGAAUGCUUAUGUUAAAUACCUUUUUUAAACCUAAUAAGAAUACAGCUGCCCUACCUGCUAAGGCUAAAUUAGGCGCUGUUACAUGGCUCUCAUUGCUAAUUUCUUGAAUGUCUGGUUGCUCUGUUACCUUUGUCAUUUAUACGUAACAUAAAUGUGUCAUGUUUAAGCUUUCUUUA